rnacentral:rRNA from 1 species
AUUGAACGCUGGCGGCAGGCCUAACACAUGCAAGUCGAGCGCGCGGCGGACGGGUGAGUAAUGUCUGGGAAACUGCCUGAUGGCGGGGGCUAACUACGGGAAACGGUAGCUAAUACCGCAUACCAUCAGAUUGGCCCAGAUGGGAUUAGCUAGUAGGUGGGGUAACGGCUCACCUCGGCGACGAUCCCUAGCAGGUCUGACAGGAUGACCAGCCACACUGGAACUGAGACACGGUCCAGACUCCUACGGGAGGCAGCAGUGGGGAAUAUUGCACAAGUGGCGCAAGCCUGAGGCAGCCAUGCCGCGUGUGUGAAGAAGGCCUUCGGGUUGUAAAGCACUUUCAGCGGGGAGGCGUUACCCGCAGAAGAAGCACCGGCUAACUCCGUGCCAGCCGCCGCGGUAAUUC